AUUGAACGCUGGCGGCAGGCCUAACACAUGCAAGUCGAACGGUAACAGGGAUCAGCUUGCUGUUUCGCUGCCGCGUGGCGGACGGGUGUGAAAUGUCCGUGAAACUGCCUGCUGGAGGGGGAUAACUACUGGAAACGGUAGCUAAUACCGCAUAACGUCGCAAGCCCAAAGGGGGGGACCUUCGGGCCUCUUGUCAUCGGAUGUGCCCAGAUGGGAUUAGUUAGUAGGUGGGGUAACGGCUCACCUAGGCGACGAUCCCUAGCUGGUCUGAGAGGAUGACCAGCCACACUGGAACUGAGACACGGUCCAGACUCAUACGGGAGGCAGCGGAGGGGAAUAUUGCACAAUGGGCGCAAGCCUGAUGCAGCCAUGCCGCGUGUAUGAAGGGAGCCUUCGGGUUGUAAAGUUCUUUCAGCGGGGAGGAAGGGAGUAGAGUUAAUACCUUUGCUCAUUGACGGUACCCGAAGAAGAAGCACCGGCUAACUCCGUG
rnacentral:rRNA from 1 species